UACGUAGGGGGCAAGCGUUGUCCGGAGUUACUGGGCGUAAAGCGCACGCAGGCGGUCUCUUAAGUUUGGAGUGACAGUUGGUGGCUUAACUGCCAAAGUGCUUCGAAAACUGAGAGACUUGAGGGCUUCAGAGGGACACGGAAUUCCCGGUGUAGCGGUGAAAUGCGCAGAUAUCGGGAGGAACACCGGUGGCGAAGGCGGUUCUCUGGGCCUUACCUGACACUGAGGAGCGAAAGCGUGGGGAGCGAACAGG
rnacentral:rRNA from 1 species